rnacentral:tRNA from 1 species
GCCGAAGUGGUGAAACUGGCAGACACGCAUGGUUCAGGGCCAUGUGAGGGCAACCUCGUGGGGGUUCGAAUCCCCCCUUCGGCA